UUGCGUGGGAAAUAGUCUUUUGCCCUAAAAGAUAUAAAGGAACUUAAAUACCAUUACAAAAUCCAAAAGUAUCUACAUCAAUUUCCUUUCUGCUUCUCCAAACAACAUCGAAUUAAUUUACCAAUUUCCAUUCUCCAGCCCCACUCCGGUCUCUCCCAAACCAGCGCAUUAUUCCUGAAAUCUUUCAAAAUCAGCGACCGGCAACGGCCAAGCGAGUGGCGACCAACUAAGAGGAACAAACGAGACUAUGGUAUGAUAAUCAAGAUGAGGAACGAUCGACGGACGAUGAGGAGAGACGAAAUCCGACUGACGGAGACCAGGCGACGAACUGAGAGUACGACCGACCAACCGACAACGACGAGAACAACAUCUGACCAAGAAUCGAACAGAAAUUGACUCUCGUUUCAUCAUGGAAGAAGGGCGGUACAAUGUUCAUAUUUGAUACCCUUGAAACAAGUGGCAACUCCAAAGGACAAAGCGUAUAUGCAGCAGGUGAAUGAAAAUUCCCUGGCCUUAGCAUCUGCUUUAUUGAGAAGAAAAUGCAAAUUGGUGACUGGGGGCACUGACAACCAUUUGUUGAUGUGGGAUCUGACUACUUGAGGCUUAAGAGGUACUUGAAGAUACAAAUAAAUCAUGAAACACUUGAUUGUAUGUGAUACAUAGAUUAGAGGGAGAGAUUACUACAAUAGGAAAUUUAUAGUUUUUUUCCUUAUUUUUUAUAAUUGUGAAUUAUAUGGAGACUUUUAGAUAAUUGUGAUUAGAACAUAAUCAAUGUUAAUAAUCAUAUUUUGAGAAU